rnacentral:misc_RNA from 1 species
AUCUGACUCAGGGUCGGUUAACAUCCAUCGGACGGCUUGCUGUUCGCAUUGGGCGGUCGCUAUGCCUAGGCACAGCGUCGCUCCAAGGUAUGCUGUACGGAGUUCACUGACUCGACUCUUGGGAACUUGYGUCCUGGGUCGCUGACGUGGCCGUAUGUGCUUGGCGCCGGGACUUAGACUGACUGUCUCGUAAGCGCCUCCCGACUUUACUU